CUUGGUCAUUUAGAGGAAGUAAAAGUCGUAACAAGGUUUCCGUAGGUGAACCUGCGGAAGGAUCAUUAUCAUACAACUGAGGUGCAAAGGCUGUCGCUGACUUUUCGUCGUGCACGCCCGAGUGCUCUCAAACAUAUCCAUCUCACCCCUGUGCACCACCGCGUGGGUUCCCUUUUGGCUCGUUCCGAGGGGGGGCUCGCGUUUUCACACAAACUUGAUACGGUAUAGAAUGUCUUUGUUUGCGAUCACACGCAAUUAAUACAACUUUCAACAACGGAUCUCUUGGCUCUCGCAUCGAUGAAGAACGCAGCGAAAUGCGAUACGUAAUGUGAAUUGCAGAAUUCAGUGAAUCAUCGAAUCUUUGAACGCACCUUGCGCCCCUUGGCAUUCCGAGGGGCACACCCGUUUGAGUGUCGUGAAAUCAUCAAAACCUUCUCUUUGACCCUCUUUGGUCGGGAAAAGGAUUUUUGGACUUGGAGGUUCCAUGCUCGCCUUCACUUUUGAAAGCGAGCUCCUCUCAAAUGAAUUAGUGGGGUCCGCUUUGCUGGUCCUUGACGUGAUAAGAUGUUUCUACGUUUUGGAUUUAGCACUGUCCCUUGGAUGCCUGCUCCUAACUGUCUCACGGACAAUGAUGGUGCUCUGGUCACUGCCAUCUACAUUGGCGGGAGGCUGGACCCACAAAAGAAAACCUUGACCUCAAAUCGGGUGAGACUACCCGCUGAACUUAGGCAUAUCAAUAAGCGGAGGA
rnacentral:rRNA from 1 species